AGGUAGUUGAAAAUCAAAGAAGACUCAGACAGAGAAAAGCUUUAAGGAAGACUCUGAGCCUAGACCAACUGCCUAAAGAAGCAGAACCCAGCUAGGUUGCCUGGAAGUGGUUUAGAUCAGUGUCAUUUGGUGUUCAGUUUGCUCCUGGUUUUCCAGCUUUUGUGAGCAGCCAUUCUGGGGUGGUGAUUGGUGAUGCAGUCUUUGAGUCAUUUCUGCUACUAGGCAGCUGUUUGGAAGGAGUCUGGCGGAAGAUCCACAUCAACUGCCCUCCCCAUCUCUUCCCCUAAUCCCGCCCCUUCAAAGACCACAAACACAGCUCCUCUCCCAAAGAGGCUCAAGACCACUCCCACAGGGUAUGUAAGUGGCAUCGCAAAAACAGACACAUGGUUCUUCCGGUCUCUGAGAGGCCUUCAGGGUGCAAAGACUUAUCAGCAGCCACCUUUCUGUAUCUUUUUGCAGUAAAUCUCUUGUGUGGA